rnacentral:misc_RNA from 1 species
UUUCCGUAGGUGAACCUGCGGAAGGAUCAUUGUCGAAACCUGCCCAGCAGAACGACCCGCGAACUUGUAUAAACAACUGGGGGCGGGGGGCGUUCUCGCCCCGUGCCCCCGAACGGCGGGGAGACACUCGUGCCUUCUUGCUGAACAACGAACCCCGGCGCGGUCUGCGCCAAGGAACUUCAACUAAAGAGUGCCUCCGGUCGCCUCGGAAACGGCGUGCGUGCCGGAGGCGAAUCUUGUGCAAAACCAUAACGACUCUCGGCAACGGAUAUCUCGGCUCUC